GACGAACGCUGGCGGCGUGCCUAAUACAUGCAAGUAGAACGCUGAAGGAGGAGCUUGCUUCUCUGGAUGAGUUGCGAACGGGUGAGUAACGCGUAGGUAACCUGCCUGGUAGUGGGGGAUAACUAUUGGAAACGAUAGCUAAUACCGCAUAAUAGCAGUUGUUGCAUGAUAACUGUUUGAAAGGUGCAAUUGCACCGCUACCAGAUGGACCUGCGUUGUAUUAGCUAGUUGGUGGGGUAACGGCUCACCAAGGCGACGAUACAUAGCCGACCUGAGAGGGGGAUCGGCCACACUGGGACUGAGACACGGCCCAGACUCCUACGGGAGGCAGCAGUAGGGAAUCUUCGGCAAUGGACGGAAGUCUGACCGAGCAACGCCGCGUGAGUGAAGAAGGUUUUCGGAUCGUAAAGCUCGGUUGUAAGAGAAGAACGAGUGUGAGAGUGGAAAGUUCACACUGUGACGGUAUCUUACCAGAAAGGGACGGCUAACUACGUG
rnacentral:rRNA from 1 species